UCUGCGCAUUGCUAUGGCUUGAGCUGAGACUACUGGUUGGUUGAUGAACUCUGAAGUGAAGGUAGUAUGCUACAUGAGGGGCAGGUGUUUCACGAACACCACAAGGGUCUCUGGACCAAUGGGUGGUGUUUGGUAAUAAUUCUUGCUACAGAA